rnacentral:rRNA from 1 species
AUUGAACGCUGGCGGCAGGCUUAACCACUGCAAGUCGAGAGAGCGGCGGACGGGUGAGUAAUGUCUGGGAAACUGCCUGAUGGAGGGGGAAAACUAAUGGAAACGGUAGCUAAUAACGCAUAACAUCAGAUGUGCCCAGAUGGGAUUAGCUAGUAGGUGGGGUAAUGGCUAACCUAGGCGACGAUCCAUAGCUGGUCUGAGAGGAUGACCAGCCACACUGGAACGGAGACACGGUCCAGACUCCGACGGGAGGCAGGAGUGGGGAAUAUUGCACAAGGGGCGCAAGCCUGAUGCAGCCAUGCCGCGUGUGUGAAGAAGGCCUUCGGGUUGUAAAGCACUUUCAGCGAGGAGGCGUUACUCGCAGAAGAAGCACCGGCUAACUCCGUGCCAGCCGCCGCGGUAAUUC